CCAGCACGAUGCCAUGUUUCUAAAUGGAACACAAGUAUGUGUGAGCUGCUGGAGAAAGGGCAAGUCAUCCUUUGGAUAUGGGUAACGAAAAUGCCUUUUGGAUACUGGAUCUGAAUGAGCAUAAGCAUCUGCGAGCAAAUCUAAAAAGCUUACAUUUUGAUGAAAUUUUCAUCUUUGGCUGCCAAGAAUACAUGGGAAAAGACUGUGGGAGGCUGUAAAGUACAGCGACACAAGACUUUUCUUGGUAAAGGUCAACUGUGAUCCAGAAUCAUUUUCUUUCUGAAGACAUAUUUGUAACAGCAAUAUGAUUUGUAUGAUGCAUAGAGAGCCUGCACUUCCAGAAGUAAGGAAGAAAGAAAAGGUAAGAUGAUACUGAAGGAGGCAGAAACACAGAGGAAAGCAAGUGUACAGCAAAAGUCAUGUAAAUUGGUGUGCAAGUUGGCGAAUUUCCUAAUUGUCAGUAAAGGGCAGCAGAAAGAAAGACAAAGAAAAUAAAGGAAAUUCAAGUGGAAUCAAAAGGAAAGACUGGGCAAGACAGAAAAGAAGCAGGCAUCGGCAACAGAAUAAAGAAGCUAAGACACUCAAAAUGCAGAUGCAAAUGUCAUCACUAAAGGUCAUCCCAUUCUGUUUCAAGAAGACAAAUAAAACUUAUAAAGGGGUUCUCUCACUUCAGCAAAUGGCAUUUAUCACACAAGGUUAAUACAAGGCUCUUACUAAUGUAUUGUGAUUCUCCAUAUUGCCUCCUUUGCUGGCUUGAUUCAUUUUUCCCCACCUCAUUAUACACUGCUCAUAUCCAGGGGUUACAGACCCCGCUGCAGCGCAGGUACGAGGUGGCCGGGACGGGAGCUGCUGUGCAUGUUUGCCUAUGCACGCCCCCACAGUCCCAGCCACCAGAGAGGCCGGUGCUUUUUCCUGCAGUGUGCAAGCACAACCACCAUUGAUGGAUUGCAGGGUGGUCGUAAACGCUGGAAACGAGCAGUGUAUAAUGUGAUUGAAAAA